GUUUUUCUUAUCUGCAAGACGCAAAGUGAGUAUUAGAUGAAAUCGAGGGACCACACACCAGGCCUCAUCAAGGGAUCAGAAGUGGGAAGGGGUUCUUUUGAAGACCCUGACCUGGAGUUACACACUGACCAUGGUUCUUUGUGGGAAUGGGACCCGCUCUCAGGGUUCCACAAUCGGCUGCUAUUCUGCAUGCCGAAGGCUUGGCCUAAGACUUCAGCACGGAUUCUGAAGCCUGGCAUCUUGUGGAACUGGAGACGGGUGGAUCAGGGUUGGUGUCGCCACAGGAGACCCGUGUGUCGUUGGGGGAGUUGGAACAUCUGCUGUGUGCCUGGGGACCCGGGAUCCUUGCGAUCUUCAGGCACAGGGCUCGAAAAAAAGCGACAUAAUGGACUUUUAACAUUGUAAACCAGUGAGUUGUUAUGUCUCCCCGCUUGUUGGAAAAUGGAGUCAUCUCUUUCUUCCUUGUUAGGGGAGAGAGAGAGAGCCUGCAGCAUGUCGAAUUAUCGAGUGAACAAUGUAGUCUUUGGGGUAACUGCAAGUCUGUGUCUUUGCUAUCGCUUUGCUCACGCUUGAGUGCUGGUAGUGGGUGUGCUUUAUUUUUGUUGGU